rnacentral:tRNA from 1 species
GCGGGGAUGCCCGAGCGGUCUAAGGGGAUGGUCUCAAGAACCAUUGGCUUAGUGCCUUCGGAGGUUCGAAUCCUCCUCCCCGCA